rnacentral:rRNA from 1 species
CCUACGGGGGGCAGCAGUGAGGAAUAUUGGUCAAUGGGCUUACGCCUGAACCAGCCAAGUCGCGUGAGGGAAGACUGCCCUAUGGGUUGUAAACCUCUUUUGUCAGGGAGCAACGCCGGCUACGUGUAGCCGGACUGAGAGUACCUGAAGAAAAAGCAUCGGCUAACUCCGUGCCAGCAGCCGCGGUAAUACGGAGGAUGCGAGCGUUAUCCGGAUUUAUUGGGUUUAAAGGGCGUGUAGGCGGGCUUGCAAGUCAGAAGUGAAAUCUGGGGGCUUAACCCCCAAACUGCUUUUGAAACUGUGGGUCUUGAGUGAUGGAGAGGCAGGCGGAAUUCCCAGUGUAGCGGUGAAAUGCGUAGAUAUUGGGAGGAACACCAGUGGCGAAGGCGGCCUGCUGGACAUUAACUGACGCUGAGGCGCGAAAGCGUGGGGAGCAAACAGGAUUAGAUACCCUUGUAGUC